GCCGCGAUGGUGUAGUGGUUAGCGCGCUCGCCUCUCACCCUCAGGAGAAGGGUUCGAAUCCCGCCUCUGCC